GCCGGGAGCGGUGGCGCGUGCCUGUAGUCCCAGCUACUCGGGAGGCUGAGGUGAGAGGAUCGCUUGAGCCCAGGAGUUCUGGGCUGUAGUGUGCUAUGCCGACGGGGUGUCCGCAUUAAGUUCGGCAUCAAUAUGAUGACCUCCCGGGAGUGGGGACCCCCAGGUUGCCUAAGGAGAGGUCAACUGGCUCAGGUUGGAAACGGAGCAGGUCAAAACUCCCGUGCUGAUCUCUAGUGGGAUCACGCCUGUGAAUAGCCACUGCACUCCAGCCUGGGCAGCAUAGUGAGAUCCUGUCUCU
rnacentral:SRP_RNA from 1 species